rnacentral:rRNA from 1 species
AACGAACGCUAGCGAUGCGUCUUAAGCAUGCAAGUCGAACGGCAAGCGGUACUUGUACCGCCUAGAGUGGCGAACGGGUGAGUAACACGUGGGUGAUCUACCUUUUAGAUGGGGAUAGCCACCAGAAAUGGUGGAUAAUACCGAAUACGCUAUUAUCUUGUGAGGUAAUAGGAAAGACGCAAUUGUGUCGCUAAAAGAUGAGCCUGCGCAAUAUUAGCUAGUUGGUGGGGUAAAGGCUCACCAAGGCGACGAUAUUUAGCCGGCCUGAGAGGGUGUCCGGCCACAUUGGGACUGAGAUACGGCCCAGACUCCUACGGGAGGCAGCAGCUAAGAAUCUUCCGCAAUGGGCGAAAGCCUGACGGAGCGACAUCGCGUGGAUGAAGAAGGCCGAGAGGUUGUAAAAUCCUUUUAUACAAGAGGAAUAAAACGGGGAGUGGAACGCCCUGUUGAUGACGUUAAUGUAUGAAUAAGCUCCGGCCAAUUACGUGCCAGCAGCCGCAGUAA